GACAGAGGUGGCGAGCGUUGCUCGGAUUUACUGGGCUUAAAGGGCGCGUAGGUGGCCUUGUAAGUCAAAGGUGGAAUUCCACAGCUCAACUGUGGAACUGCCUUUGAUACUGCAAGGCUUGAGUCAGGUAGAGGGAGGCGGAAUUCCCGGUGUAGCGGUGAAAUGCGUAGAUAUCGGGAGGAAGGCCGGUGGCGAAGGCGGCCCUCUGGGCCUGUACUGACACUGAGGCGCGAAAGCGUGGGGAGCAAACAGG
rnacentral:rRNA from 1 species